rnacentral:rRNA from 1 species
GACGAACGCUGGCGGCGUGCUUAACACAUGCAAGUCGAACGGAAAGGCCCUGCUUUUGUGGGGUGCUCGAGUGGCGAACGGGUGAGUAACACGUGAGUAACCCGCCCUUGACUUUGGGAUAACUUCAGGAAACUGGGGCUAAUACCGGAUAGGAGCUCCUGCUGCAUGGUGGGGGUUGGCAUGUUUCGGCGGUUGGGGAUGGACUCGCGGCUUAUCUGCUUGUUGGUGGGGUAGUGGCCUACGAAGGCUUUGACGGGUAGCCGGCCUGAGAGGGUGACCGGCCACAUGGGGACUGAGAUAGGGCCCAGACUCCUACGGGGGGCAGCAGGGGGAAAUAUGGCACAAGGGGCGGAAGCCUGAUGCAGCAACGCCGCGGGGGGGAUGACGGCCUUGGGGUUGUAAACCGCUUUCGCCUGUGACGAAGCGUUAGUGACGGUAAUGGGAGAAGAAGCACCGGCUAACUACGUG